rnacentral:rRNA from 1 species
CCCACCAGCUAGCCCCCCCCCCCACAUCUCAACCCCCACAUAUUUAUAACCCCUCACGCACUAAAACAAAAAUCCAAACCAUUUUUCCCCCUAAGUAUGGGCGACAGAAAAGGAACUUAGGAGCAACAGAAAAAGUACCGCAAGGGAACGCUGAAAGAGUAAAUGAAACAACCCAGUAAAGUCAAAAAAAGCAGAGAUUACAUCUCGUACCUUUUGCAUCAUGAUUUAGCAAGUACAACCGGGCAAAAAGAGCUUUAGUCCGGCCCCCCGAAACCAAGUGAGCUACUCCAAGGCAACCUAAAAUAAGGGUAAACCCGUCUCUGUAGCAAAAGAGUGGGAAGACCUUUGAGUAGCGGUGACAAGCCUAUCGAACUUGGCAAUAGCUGGUUGCUUGAGAAUGAAUAGAAGUUCUGCCUCUUAUAUUCUCCCCCCACCCUGGCCCACUACUAUUUUGGACCUUUCACAAGAUAAAAGAAAAUAAGAGAGUCAAUCAAAGGAGGUACAGCCCCUUUGAGACAAAAUACAACUUUUCCAGAAGGGUAAAGAUCAUAACCCUUAAGGUGACCAUGUCCCAGUGGGCCUAAAAGCAGCCACCCCCUUAGAAAGCGUUAAAGCUCCAUCAUACCCUUCACCCUCGAUUCCGAUCUCUAAUCUAAACCCCCUUUACAUAUCAAGCCGUCCCAUAUAACCAUGGAAGCGAUUAUGCUAAAAUGAGUAAUCAGAGAGCAUUGCCUCUCUCCCUGUACAUGUGUAAAUCGGAACGGACCCCUCCCCACCGAAACUUAACGGGCCCAAAACUAGCGGGCACUGGACAAUUAAUAAUAAACAAGAAAAUUAUCCCAAACAUCACCGUUAACCCCACACUGGUGUACUUCAAAAGAAAGACCAAAAGGAAAAGAAGGAACUCGGCAAACACCCCCAAGCCUCGCCUGUUUACCAAAAACAUCGCCUCUUGCUUAACCCCCAUAUAAGAGGUCCCGCCUGCCCCGUGACUCCCCAGUUCAACGGCCGCAGUAUUUUGACCGCGCAAAGGUAGCGCAAUCACUUGUCCCUUAAAUGAGGACCUGUAUGAAUGGCACAACGAGGGCUUAUCUGUCUCCUUUUCCCGGUCAAUGAAAUUGAUCCUCCCGUGCAGAAGCGGGAAUACUAACAUAAGACGAGAAGACCCUAUGGAGCUUUAGACUUUCAAACAGGCCAUAUUAACUACUUCCCUUAAACAAAGUAGCAACUACUGAACUCUGUCCCCUGUCUUCGGUUGGGGCGACCACGGGGAAGAAACAAUCCCCCACGUGGACUAGAAGUACCCUAACUUACUUCUACAACUACGAGCCACAGCUCUAAUGCGCAGAACCUCUGACCAUAUAGAUCCGGCAAAGCCGAUCAACGGACCAAGUUACCCUAGGGAUAACAGCGCAAUCCCCUUUAAGAGUUCCUAUCGACAAGGGGGUUUACGACCUCGAUGUUGGAUCAAGACAUCCUAAUGGUGCAACCGCUAUUAAGGGUUCGUUUGU